AUUGAGUCAUCAAAUUUUCUGUCUUUACAGCCUUGCAGAUUGCCAAAUUGCAUCUUCAAAUUAAAUCUUUUGAAACUAACCCACAAUUAGUAAAUAAUCAUUUACUAAAGAACCCAUCAUACCCUGCCAGAUCCUUUUCAAAUCAAUUAAAUAAACAACCCUUGAUCCAUUCACACAAGGACCAAUAAUAUCACCACAUUUCCCAAACACCCAACCUCUAGACAUCACCAUGCAAACAUAACUUCUCAACUUUAAGAUUCACCAAGAAAUCAAAUUAUAGAUACAAAACCAUAUCACCCUACUAAUUCCAUAUGACCACCUCUCUUUCACACAGAGGAAAUAGUUAGAGGAAAUAGUGUAAUUGAACAUCUGCCACCAAGCAUAUGCCACUUUAUUUUUUUCCCAAGCUCACAUACAAGUUGGCUUCACAAUUUCUUGUACAAAAGAACUCCAAUCACUAAGCCCUUCAAUUACCGCGGCAUAUAUGCAUAGAACUAAAAAUCACAUACAAUCAAGCUAAUGAACCUGUUGUCUACUUUGUUGUUAUAAGAAGU
rnacentral:lncRNA from 1 species